rnacentral:lncRNA from 1 species
AAAUUCAGAUUCUUUAGGUUGAUACUCGAACGUGUCAAAUGUAGUGAUAGUUAGGCGCGUUGGCGGAGGUAAUGGAUUCUCAGGAGGAGUGACCUUUUCAGUUGGCUCAACAAUGGUAAUGUUGUGAUAGUUAGGAGCGUUGACGGAGGUAAUGGAUUCUCAGGAGGAGUGACCUUUUCAAUUGGCUCAACAAUGGUGCUUCUAUCAAUUGUCCAAGGGAAUUUGUUAAGUGGAUUUCCAUAUAAAUAAGAUGACUCUUUCACUUGUGCAACCGACACCAAGUGUGU